ACGUAGGGUGCGAGCGUUGUCCGGAAUUAUUGGGCGUAAAGAGCUUGUAGGCGGUUUGUCGCGUCUGCCGUGAAAAUCCGGGGCUCAACUCCGGACUUGCGGUGGGUACGGGCAGACUAGAGUGUGGUAGGGGAGACUGGAAUUCCUGGUGUAGCGGUGAAAUGCGCAGAUAUCAGGAGGAACACCGAUGGCGAAGGCAGGUCUCUGGGCCACUACUGACGCUGAGAAGCGAAAGCGUGGGGAGCGAACAGGAUUAGAUACCCUGGUAGUCCACGCCGUAAACGUUGGGAACUAGGUGUGGGUCUCAUUCCACGAGAUCCGUGCCGCAGCUAACGCAUUAAGUUCCCCGCCUGGGGAGUACGGCCGCAAGGCUA
rnacentral:rRNA from 1 species